rnacentral:lncRNA from 1 species
GGUUGUCACACGUCCGGAGGCCGAGCCGUCGCCCGGGCCCCUCAGAUGAGAGCUGCACCCAGGCCAGCACCAGUCGCUCAGCCACCAGCAGCGGCACCGCCAUCUACAGUUGGCUCUUCUGCUGCUGCGCCCCGGCAGCCAGGUCUGAUGGCCCAGAUGGCAACCACUGCAGCUGGCGUGGCUGUGGGCUCUGCUGUGGGGCACAUACUGGGUCAUGCCAUUACUGGGGGCUUCAGUGGAGGAAGUAAUGCUGAGCCUGCGAGGCCUGACAUCACUUACCAGGAGCCUCAGGGAACCCAGCCGGCACAGCAGCAGCAGCCUUGCUUCUGUGAGAUCAAACAGUUUCUGGAGUGUGCCGAGAACCAGGGUGACAUCAAGCUCUGUGAGGGUUUCAAUGAGGUGCUGAAACAGUGCCGACUUGCAAACGGAUUGGCCUAAUCAAGAAGUUCAACCUGGAGAGAUGGAAAAUCAGCUCUCAUACUAAUUAAUUUAGUAUAAAAAUAGAAUUGGUAGUGAGGGUAUAAAGUGUAAGCAUCAGUUAAACUUCUCCUGUCAUUCCUAGCUUCCUUGCUUCAGAAUUGAAAUGGAAGGGAGGGUGUUCCUACUCUGUAGAAUCUGGGACUGGGCAAAUGUUUGUGUGGCCUCCUUAAACUAGCUGUUAUGAUUUUAUUCUUUGUGAGUUAAUUAGAAUAAAGUCAUUUUCUUCCAA